rnacentral:rRNA from 1 species
AUGGAGAUGGUAUGUUGGAACAUCAGGGGGCUCAACAGCCCUAUGAGGAGAAAAACACUUAGGGAGUUUGUAGCCACGAUGCGAGCUUCCAUUAUCUGUAUCCUGGAGACAAAACUAGAAAGGGUGGAUAAAUUCCCCAUAAUGCAAUGUCUUGGACCCUCGUACGAUGGGUUUAUGUAUCUACCUGUGUCCGACACGAGAGGAGGUAUCUUUGUGGGAUGGGAUUCCACGAAGGCACAAAUUUCUAACUACGUUCGUGACACCAACUUCCUCACGGGGUAUGUCACUCCUAUUGACGGACCUAGCUGGUGGCUAUCAGUGGUAUAUGGACCGCGGGACAACGCGCAUAAAAUUCAGUUCUUGGAGGAGCUAUCUGCUCGACGGCUCUUAUGUCCGGGAGCAUGGCUGGCAAUAGGAGAUUUUAAUCCAAUCCUCAAUUCCUCUGACAAAAGCAACAACAGGAUUAACCGUAGAAUGAUGAGGAAGUUCAAACGGUUCAUAGAUGAUAAUGCUCUCAAGGAGCUAUUUUUGCAUGGGAGAAAAUACACGUGGACCAGUGAGAGGGAAGCGCCAACCUCACUAAGAUUGACAGAGCCUUUGUCUCGGUGGACUGGGAGCUGGACCAUCCGGAUUGCUUGCUACAGGCCUUGUCAUCCUCAGUUUCAGACCACUGUCCGCUGUUCUUGGCCCUAG